ensembl:misc_RNA Metazoa_SRP Metazoan signal recognition particle RNA
GCCGGGCACAGUGGCGCGUGCCUGUGAUCCUGCUGUUUGGGAAGCUAAGGCUGAGGGAUUGCUUGAGUCUGGGAGUUCUAGUCUGCCCUGAGCCAUGUCGAUCGGGUGUCCGCACUAAGUUCAGUAUCAAUAUGGUGUUCCUGGGGGAGCUUGGGAUCACCAGGUUGUCUAAAGAGGGGUGAACCGAUCCAGGUCGGUAACGGAGCAGGUCAAAGCCCCCAUGCUGAUCAGUAGUGGGAUAGCGCCUGUGAAUGGUCAGUGCAGAGUAGCCUGGGUGAUACAGUGAGACCCAGUCUUUU